GUUACCCUUUUAGUUAAGCAAGGUGUUGUUGAUGCUAAAUUUGCAAAGAACAUAACAAGAGCAUCAACUAGUUUGGCUAAGAAAAGGGGGAGGGGGCGAAUGAGCUUAAUAAAGAUGAUAACACAAUGAAGGAGAAGAAAGAAAGUUUGAGUGCAUUAAUCUAAAGAAGCAAUUGGUCUUCCAAAUGUUUACAUUACCUUCAAGUGCCCUUCUUAAGGAUGUUAUAAAGAGUUUAGAGAAAUAUAGAAUGGUAAAGUCAACUCCGCCUCAAUCAAGUCCUUACUUAGUAUGCAAUAUUAACGAAUUGACGAUGAAAUGCCUUGGUUAGCUAAGAAGGGCUUUAGAAAGAAAGCUCUCGUUAAGAAGCACAAAAACUGAACUUGAAGACUUAGUUAAAGUUAUUAGCUCUUUUUAGAAGAUCAUUGGAUAUACUUAUUUCCUAUAUAAUAGGAUUCAAAUUUAAGUUUUAAUGCUAUGCUCAAUUAAAUUUACCAUGUACAUUCAUUUUUAAUUGAGUUUAACUCAACUUAAUACUUGAUA